rnacentral:rRNA from 1 species
AUUGAACGCUGGCGGCAUGCUCUACACAUGCAAGUCGAACGGUAACAGGCCGCAAGGUGCUGACGAGUGGCGAACGGGUGAGUAAUGCAUCGGAACGUGCCCAGUCGUGGGGGAUAACUACUCGAAAGAGUAGCUAAUACCGCAUACGAUCUAUGGAUGAAAGCGGGGGACCGUAAGGCCUCGCGCGAUUGGAGCGGCCGAUGUCAGAUUAGGUAGUUGGUGGGGUAAAGGCUCACCAAGCCAACGAUCUGUAGCUGGUCUGAGAGGACGACCAGCCACACUGGGACUGAGACACGGCCCAGACUCCUACGGGAGGCAGCAGUGGGGAAUUUUGGACAAUGGGCGCAAGCCCGAUCCAGCAAUGCCGCGUGCAGGAAGAAGGCCUUCGGGUUGUAAACUGCUUUUGUACGGAACGAAACGGCUCUGGUUAAUACCCGGGGCUAAUGACGGUACCGUAAGAAUAAGCACCGGCUAACUACGUG